AAAGUCGUAACAAGGUUUCCGUAGGCGAACCUGCGGAAGGAUCAAUUCUGAGUUUGUCCCUGUAUCACUGAGUUUGAUACAGGGCUUCUCCCAUUCUUGUGAUUUAUUCAAAGACCUAUUCUAUAGGUUUUCUUCAAAAUCUUUUUGAAAUUUAAAACUUUCAACAACGGAUCUCUUGGUUCUG
rnacentral:misc_RNA from 1 species